GCGGGCCGGAGAGGAACGGUUAUCUUCACGUCAGGGAGGUCGCGGGUUCGAAUCCCGCCGGGCCGCG
rnacentral:tRNA from 1 species